UACGGAGGGGGCUAGCGUUGUUCGGAAUCACUGGGCGUAAAGCGCACGUAGGCGGCUUUGUAAGUUAGAGGUGAAAGCCCAGGGCUUAACCCUGGAAUUGCCUUUAAGACUGCAUCGCUAGAAUCGUGGAGAGGUGAGUGGAAUUCCGAGUGUAGAGGUGAAAUUCGUAGAUAUUCGGAAGAACACCAGUGGCGAAGGCGACUCACUGGACACGUAUUGACGCUGAGGUGCGAAAGCGUGGGGAGCAAACAGG
rnacentral:rRNA from 1 species